ensembl:snoRNA
CUGGCCCUGAAUCAAGGCCGGCAGUUUUCUGAAGUUGUUGGUUUCAAGCAGGAGCCUAAAGAGAUGUCUUUCUAUGGUCUGUUGGCCAUUUCAGAACUUGGCAAAUGGAAUGGUCAAUUCAUUAGAAAGAAACAGUA